rnacentral:lncRNA from 1 species
AUGGACAGCGUCGUGCUGACAAAGCUUGGACAGACUGUUUGCACUGCACAGCCCCAGCCGUCGCAUCCUAAGCCGGCUGCGUGCCCUGUGCCGCUACAAUUAGCGUCCACUGAGCCAGGGGUCUCCGCACCUGCUGGCUCUGCACCCGUCUCCGCUGGGGGUUCAGGAGAACCUCUCCAGCCGCUCCUCGUCCCCGCUGGGGGUUCAGGAGAACCUCUCCAGCCGUCCCUCGUCUCCGCUGGGGUUCAGGAGAACCUCUCCAGCCGCUCCUCGUCUCCACUGGCGGCUCUGGUCAGCCCGGCCAGCCGCUCCUCGUCUCCGCUGGAGGGUCCAAUUCACCGUCGCCUGGUCCAGCCUCUGCAUCUGCUUCGCCGUCGCCUGGUCCAGCCUCUGCAUCUGCUUCGCCGUCGCCUGGUCCAGCCUCUGCUUCAGCUUCGCCGUCGCCUGGUCCGGCUCCAUCGACUGCUUCUGCUCCGCCUACGCCGUCGCCUGGUCCGGCUCCAUCGACUGCUUCUGCUCCGCCUAUGCCGUCGCCUGGUCCGGCUCCAUCGUCGCCUGUGGCUGCCACGCCACCGUCCAGUCCAGCUUCUGCUUCAGCUCCAUCGUCGCCUGUGGCUGCCACGCCACCGUCCGGUCCUACCUCGUCUGGUCCUGUGCCCACCAAGCCUCGACCAGUACGCCCGAUGCUUGAGAGCCGCCGCCGCCUUCCACGCGGUCGGCCUCCGGACCCGCUCUGCUGCCGCCGCCGCCUUCCACGCGGUCGGCCUCCGGACCCGCUCUGCUGCCGCCGCCGCCUUCCACGCGGUCGGCCUCCGGAACAGCCGAACUGAACUUUUGUGCUGUCGCCCCCCGGGUCAACCUCCUGUUCUCUAUGGACACCGCUUCCCUGUUUUGAACUAUUUUUGUGUGUUUGUGGACUCAGUUUUGGUCUCGUGCUCCUUGUCUUUUGUUUGGUUUCGUUCCCUCCGUCCUGGUCCCCCGCCUCCCGCCCUGGGUGGGUUGUUUUCUGUUUUUUCUUGUCUUUUGGUUCUUGGGUUUGGGCUGUCGGGAGCCAGCCCUUGA